CGGACUGCAGGCUGCAACCCGCCUGCACGAAGCCGGAGUUGCUAGUAAUCGCGAAUCAGAAUGUCGCGGUGAAUGCGUUCCCGGGUCUUGUACACACCGCCCGUCACACCAUGGAAGUUGGGGGUGCCCAAAGCCGGCAAGCAAAUAUGCUGUCUAAGGCAAAACCAAUGACUGGGGUGAAGUCGUAACAAGGUAGC
rnacentral:rRNA from 1 species